rnacentral:rRNA from 1 species
UACAGAGGGUGCAAGCGUUGUUCGGAAUUAUUGGGCGUAAAGGGUGCGUAGGCGGUGCGGUAAGUCUGUAGUGAAAUCUCUGGGCUCAACUCAGAGUCUGCUAUAGAAACUGCCGUGCUUGAGUGUGGGAGAGGUGAGUGGAAUUCCCGGUGUAGCGGUGAAAUGCGUAGAUAUCGGAAGGAACACCAGUGGCGAAAGCGGCUUCCUGGUCCAGCACCGACGUUCAGGCACGAAAGCGUGGGGAGCAAACAGG